UACGUAGGGGGCUAGCGUUGUCCGGAUUUAUUGGGCGUAAAGCGCGUGUAGGCGGUCCGAUAAGUUCGCUGUGAAAGUCGGGGGCUUAACCCUCGGAUGCCGGUGAAUACUGUCGGGCUUGAGUACGGAAGAGGCGAGUGGAAUUCCUGGUGUAGCGGUGAAAUGCGCAGAUAUCAGGAGGAACACCAAUUGCGAAGGCAGCUCGCUGGGACGUUACUGACGCUGAGACGCGAAAGCGUGGGGAGCAAACAGG
rnacentral:rRNA from 1 species